rnacentral:rRNA from 1 species
ACGGAGGGUGCAAGCGUUAAUCGGAAUUACUGGGCGUAAAGCGCACGCAGGCGGUUUGUUAAGUCAGAUGUGAAAUCCCCGGGCUCAACCUGGGAACUGCAUCUGAUACUGGCAAGCUUGAGUCUCGUAGAGGGGGGUAGAAUUCCAGGUGUAGCGGUGAAAUGCGUAGAGAUCUGGAGGAAUACCGGUGGCGAAGGCGGCCCCCUGGACGAAGACUGACGCUCAGGUGCGAAAGCGUGGGGAGCAAACAGG